UGAACUAGGACUGCUGGGUGAAUUAGGUAGUUUCAUGUUGUUGGGCCUGGGCUUCUGAAAACAACAACAUCAAACCACCCGAUUCACGGCAGUUAAGGCUCC
rnacentral:pre_miRNA from 1 species